rnacentral:rRNA from 1 species
UGGGGAAUAUUGGACAAUGGGCGCAAGCCUGAUCCAGCCAUGCCGCGUGAGUGAUGAAGGCCUUAGGGUUGUAAAGCUCUUUUGGCGGGGACGAUAAUGACGGUACCCGCAGAAUAAGUCCCGGCUAACUUCGUGCCAGCAGCCGCGGUAAUACGAAGGGGACUAGCGUUGUUCGGAAUCACUGGGCGUAAAGCGCACGUAGGCGGAUAUGUCAGUCAGGGGUGAAAUCCCGGGGCUCAACCUCGGAACUGCCCUUGAUACAGCAUGUCUUGAGUCCGAUAGAGGUGGGUGGAAUUCCUAGUGUAGAGGUGAAAUUCGUAGAUAUUAGGAAGAACACCGGUGGCGAAGGCGGCCCACUGGAUCGGUACUGACGCUGAGGUGCGAAAGCGUGGGGAGCAAA